UACGUAGGGUGCGAGCGUUAUUCGGAAUUACUGGGCGUAAAGCGUGCGUAGGCGGUGAUGUAAGUCCGAUGUGAAAUCCCCGGGCUUAACCUGGGAACUGCAUUGGUGACUGCAUUGCUCGAGUAUGGCAGAGGGGGGUGGAAUUCCACGUGUAGCAGUGAAAUGCGUAGAGAUGUGGAGGAACACCGAUGGCGAAGGCAGCACCCUGGGCCAAUACUGACGCUCAUGCACGAAAGCGAGGGGAGCAAACAGG
rnacentral:rRNA from 1 species